CCUCUUUUUCCUGCCCCCAGUGACUUGCAUUUUCUCUGAGACAGCUGCCAUUCUAGUCUCCCAGCCAUUCUUAGGAAGAGACGUGCCUGUCUCUGGGAAGAGGCAACUUCUCUGCAUGUCAGAGUUGGAUGCCUUGAUCUAGAGGGAAACCGGUGCUUUUCCCCAUUUAUCAUCCUCUUACAGAAGAAUUUCACUUGCAGCAACUUUGAACUGCCUCUGAACUCACUCAUGCUGCAGAAGAAUCCAUGCCUGUUUGUUGAUAUUUUGUUUUUCAUGCCUGAAGAGCACAACUGGAACAAACAAGAAGUUGGAGAGUAAGAUGCUUGCCAUAACAAAUCUGUCUGGCCUACAGUGCAU
rnacentral:lncRNA from 1 species